CCUACGGGUGGCAGCAGUGGGGAAUAUUGCACAAUGGGGGAAACCCUGAUGCAGCGACGCCGCGUGAGUGAAGAAGUAUUUCGGUAUGUAAAGCUCUAUCAGCAGGGAAGAAAAUGACGGUACCUGACUAAGAAGCCCCGGCUAACUACGUGCCAGCAGCCGCGGUAAUACGUAGGGGGCAAGCGUUAUCCGGAUUUACUGGGUGUAAAGGGAGCGUAGACGGUGAUGCAAGUCAGAAGUGAAAGCCCGGGGCUCAACUCCGGGACUGCUUUUGAAACUGUGUGACUGGAGUGUAGGAGAGGUAAGCGGAAUUCCUGGUGUAGCGGUGAAAUGCGUAGAUAUCAGGAGGAACACCAGUGGCGAAGGCGGCUUACUGGACUGUAACUGACGUUGAGGCUCGAAAGCGUGGGGAGCAAACAGGAUUAGAUACCCGGGUAGUC
rnacentral:rRNA from 1 species